GAUGAACGCUAGCGAUAGGCUUAACACAUGCAAGUCGAGGGGCAGCACAAGGUAGCUUGCUAUCUGGGUGGCGACCGGCGCACGGGUGCGUAACGCGUAUGCAACUUGCCCUAUACAGGAGGAUAACCCGUCGAAAGACGGACUAAUACUGCGUAUGCUCACAACUUGGCAUCCAGUGGUGAGGAAAGAAAUUCGGUAUAGGAUAGGCAUGCGUCCCAUUAGCUUGUUGGUGAGGUAACGGCUCACCAAGGCAACGAUGGGUAGGGGAACUGAGAGGUUUAUCCCCCACACUGGUACUGAGACACGGACCAGACUCCUACGGGAGGCAGCAGUGAGGAAUAUUGGUCAAUGGGCGCGAGCCUGAACCAGCCAAGUCGCGUGAAGGAUGACUGUCUUAUGGAUUGUAAACUUCUUUUAUACGGGAAUAACAAGAGUAACGUGUGACUCCCUGCAUGUACCGUAUGAAUAAGCAUCGGCUAACUCCGUG
rnacentral:rRNA from 1 species